GACGAACGCUGGCGGCGUGCUUAACACAUGCAAGUCGUACGGUAAGGCCCUUUCGGGGGUCCACGAGUGGCGAACGGGUGAGUAACACGUGAGUAACCUGCCCACAACUUUGGGAUAACGCUAGGAAACUGGUGCUAAUACUGGAUAUGUGCUCCUGCUGCAUGGAGGGGGUUGGAAAGCUCCGGCGGUUGUGGAUGGACUCGCGGCCUAUCAGCUUGUUGGUGGGGUAGUGGCCUACCAAGGCGGCGACGGGUAGCCGGCCUGAGAGGGUGACCGGCCACAUUGGGACUGAGAUACGGCCCAGACUCCUACGGGAGGCAGCAGGGGGGAAGAUUGCACAAUGGGCGCAAGCCUGAUGCAGCAACGCCGCGUGCGGGAUGACGGUCUUCGGGUUGUAAACCGCUUUCAGCAGGGACGAAGCUUUUUGUGACGGUACCUGCAGAAGAAGCACCGGCUAACUACGUG
rnacentral:rRNA from 1 species